rnacentral:rRNA from 1 species
GCGAACGCUGGCGGCAGGCCUAACACAUGCAAGUCGCACGAACUCUUCGGAGUUAGUGGCGGACGGGUGAGUAACACGUGGGAACGUGCCUUUUGGUUCGGAAUAACUCAGGGAAACUUGUGCUAAUACCGAAUGUGCCCUUCGGGGGAAAGAUUUAUCGCCAUUAGAGCGGCCCGCGUCUGAUUAGCUAGUUGGUGAGGUAACGGCUCACCAAGGCGACGAUCAGUAGCUGGUCUGAGAGGAUGACCAGCCACACUGGGACUGAGACACGGCCCAGACUCCUACGGGAGGCGGCAGUGGGGAAUCUUGCGCAAUGGGCGAAAGCCUGACGCAGCCAUGCCGCGUGAAUGAUGAAGGUCUUAGGAUUGUAAAAUUCUUUCACCGGGGACGAUAAUGACGGUACCCGGAGAAGAAGCCCCGGCUAACUUCGUG